rnacentral:ncRNA from 2 species
UUUUAUUCUCAGGGCGGGGUGUAAUUCCCCACCGGUGGUAGGCCGCAAGGUAAGCCCACGAGCGCUCGAUACGUCGAGGUCAGCAGAUCUGGUCAAAGUCCAGAGCCGACGGUAAUAGUCCGGAUGAGAGAGAAUGAUA